rnacentral:rRNA from 1 species
GGCGAACGGGUGCGUAAUGCAUGGGAAUCUGCCUAGUAGUGGGGAAUAACCCGGCGAAAGCCGGGCUAAUGCCGCAUACGACCUGCGGGUGAAAGCGGGGGAUCGCAAGACCUCGCGCUAUUAGAUGAGCCCAUGUCGGAUUAGCUAGUUGGUAGGGUAACGGCCUACCAAGGCGGCGAUCCGUAGCUGGUCUGAGAGGACGGCCAGCCACACUGGGACUGAGACACGGCCCAGACUCCUACGGGAGGCAGCAGUGGGGAAUUUUGGACAAUGGGGGCAACCCUGAUCCAGCGACGCCGCGUGUGUGAAGAAGGCCUGCGGGUUGUAAAGCACUUUCGUUGGGAACGAAAUAUGCCGACCUAAUACGUCGGUAGGCUGACGUUACCCAAAUAAGAAGCACCGGCUAACUCUGUGCCAGCAGCCGCGGUAAUACAGAGGGUGCGAGCGUUAAUCGGAAUUACUGGGCGUAAAGCGCACGUA